AGAAUCAACGCUGGCGGCGUGCCUAACACAUGCAAGUCGAACGCGAAAGCCUCGCAAGGGGCAAGUAGAGUGGCAAACGGGUGAGUAACACGUGGGUGACCUGCCUUCGAGUGGGGGGAUAACGUCCCGAAAAGGGACGCUAAUACCGCAUAACAUGCUGUUUUUGAACAGAUGGACAUCAAAGCUGGGGACCGCAAGGCCUGGCGCUUGAAGAGGGGCCCGCGCCUGAUUAGCUAGUUGGUGGGGUAAUGGCUCACCAAGGCAUCGAUCAGUA
rnacentral:rRNA from 1 species